CUCGGGAGCGCUGUAAGUGUAGGAGAGUCCGUGCUAUGAGUGAGAAAGGGGGGAAGGCGUAUAGCCUGGUGUUCGGCCAAUUUUGUAGGAAGGCAUCCACUGCCGUGGCGUCUGGGUCCGGUCUCCAGCUGAAGAAUGAGGGGAGUUGAGCAUUCAGCCGGGAGGCAAAAAGGUCGAUGUGCAUCGGUCCCCAGAGUUGGUGGAGUUUCUGGAAUACUGUGCGAUUCAAUCGCCAUGCACUG